UGUUAAAAAUUUUUUCUAUUAAUUUGUACCAUUAAAAAUUGGCAUGAUUGAUGAAAGAACGAGAUAGUGACAUGUGAUGUGCCACGAGUACCUCAUGUUGUAUACUAGAACCAAUUUUUAACAAAAAAAAAUGGAUGAAAUUUUUAAUA
rnacentral:pre_miRNA from 1 species